rnacentral:rRNA from 1 species
AGCGGAGGAAAAGAAACCAACAGGGAUUGCCUCAGUAAUGGCGAAUGAACAGGCAAAAGCUCAGAUUUGAAACCCUCGGGAUUGUAGUCUGAAGACCUAGAUUUGGACGCUGACCAAGUCUCCUGGAACGGAGCGCCAUGGAGGGUGACAGCCCCGUAGCAGCACCAUUGWAAAUCUGGGUCAACGAGUCGAGUUGUUUGGGAAUGCAGCUCUAAGUGGGUGGUAUGCUCCAUCUAAGGCUAAAUAUUGGCGAGAGACCGAUAGCGAACAAGUACUGUGAAGGAAAGAUGAAAAGAACUUUGAAAAGAGAGUGAAAUAGUACGUGAAAUUGUUGAAAUGGAAGGCAAUGAGGCGCGAUUGAAGCGGACCGYGGGGGCAGGACAAAAGCGCAGGCCGCCUCGGCAUUGCCUGCGUGCAUACUGCCACCUGGGCUACCGGUUCUAACAACGCCUUAUUGCACCCGUCUUGAACCACGGACCAA